rnacentral:rRNA from 1 species
UACGAAGGGGGCGAGCGUUGUUCGGAUUUACUGGGCGUAAAGGGCGCGUAGGCGGCGCUUCAAGUCGCGUGUGAAAGCCCCGGGCUCAACCUGGGAGGUGCGCGCGAGACUGUGGUGCUGGAGUUCGGGAGAGGAGCGUGGAAUUCCCAGUGUAGAGGUGAAAUUCGUAGAUAUUAGGAAGAACACCAGUGGCGAAGGCGGCUCACUGGCCCGGUACUGACGCUGAGGCG